GGCCACCGUUUCACAAAGCCUUCUUAACUUACGAUCAUCGUAUCAGUUUACGAUCGGUUUACGUGUGGUUCUACGUUCCCGUUACGUGUGUUUCACAAAGGCAUCGUAAAGAACUACUAAGUUGAUCGCAAGUUACGUCGUGUGUAUCAUCGUAAGUGUAUCGUAAACCGAGAAGAGUGCUUUCUUUCACGUCCGCACUUUUAUCGAGUAUGGCAUGCCAAAUAAACAUUUUUAAAAAUAAUUAUUAUGGAUGGCGAAUUAUGGCGAUAUUUUUAUAUCAACAUUAAUACAACUAAAGAAUUUUAGUCCGUUUUC
rnacentral:lncRNA from 1 species